AGAUUACACAGAUUGUAUUCGAUUCCACUCCAGAUAGGAUGUCGGCAAGCCAAUUGUAGAGUAAGAUCAGUUCAAGUUUUUGCCUAUUGUUCACAAGCAGCUCCUUCUUAAGAUUAUCUUUUGUUACAUUUUUAAUUAGCAGUUCCAAGACUGGCUGAAAAGUAAUUUCCACUAGUGAGGCUGGUGUUCAGCAGACAUGGACAGACAGACAAUUUAAUGAAGAUAUUUUCCAGCAUUAUAAAAUCUCUUCUUUAUGUCCCCUGUUUGGCCAAAGAUGGCUUCAGGUAAUUAUAGCAAAUAAAGCCAGCAAGUUGAAAAUCAUGAUUAGCUGUGAAGCUUCCAUUAGUAGACCACCACAUUAUAAUGGGUUGCUACAGAGUAUUUGUUCCUCCAGUGGCCACAUACUAGCUGACACAGUAAAGACUGCUUAGGGUCAUAUAAAACUAAGAAGCCCAACACUCGUAGCAUGCUAAAAGCCAUGUUGUCAUUUGUUAUAUCCAACAGAAUAACCUGAAGGAUUACAGGUGCAACUCUCAGAAGUUCAAAAUCUAAAAUGCUUCACUCAUUUUCUGAGUAAUGUCAUCCGCAAAUAACAAAUGUUACCUGGUUUGGUCUGUACCUUUAAGCAAUUUGCUAAAUGCAAUAGUAAACACCCUUCUAAACAGGAAGUUCUAAAUCUUGUGAUGCAGAUGGUUCUGCAACUCCAGAGAUUUCCUAAGUUCCUCUUCCUUCAAGCAGAAUCAUUUCAAGAGACACACGAGAAAUGGCAUCUUUGCGCCAGUUAAAAAAUGUGAUAAUGCUGGCAUUUGACUGGAUUCUGUACGGUGCUGGUGCUACAGAUAUCUGCCGAGUGACUGUAACACAACCCAGAUAUCAGGAAGCUGACUACUCCAUGCACACCGUGUUCCUCACAUGCGCUUUCUCUGCUUCUGGAUGCUCCUCAACCCCACCUCAAGUUCUAUGGUUUCGCUUUUUAACUAAUGAACAUCAGGAUUUGUGUACUCCUGGAUGCACAAAUCAUCAGAAGUACACAGUACAUUUAUCAGGAAAUAAUAGUUCACUUCAGAUCAAUGAUCUAACUGUAGAUGACAAUGCUGUUUAUAUCUGUGGAAUAGCAUUUCUAGAUUCAAGUUCACCCCAUUCUAAACAAACAGGAGAUGGAACAGUACUAACGAAGACAGGAGCAGAGAAGCAGAUCAGCAAUGGAAAACUCAUCUUCAUGAUCAUCGCCUCAUCCUUACUGUUUCUCUACAGCACUACUGUAUUCACAUUCUUUGUAGUCUACAAGUUAAAACCAAAGCUGCUAAAGAGAAGCGGGAAUGAAGACCAAAGACCAGAGAACAGUAAAAUCUGUAGCGGACGAAAAAUUUUUCAAGCAAUAGCCCAAGAACUUCAAAAGCAGAGGUACGCUGAACACUGCCAACAGCCUAUCCUGCAUUCAACAUGAAGAGCUGUGGAAUAGAAAACAGGCAACUCAUUAAGGAAUGGGGUAGAGGUGACAGUUGGAUUCCUUACGGAUCAAGUCAGUGACAUACCUGCCCGUAACUGUUAGAAGACUACACAGUGACAGAUUUCAGCUGUCAUAGCAGACUUCAGAGGAUGAAAGAAUUAGGAGAACAAGCAGAGGAAGAAGAACUGGUCAGUAAUAGACUGAAGGCAUCCUCUGGAAAGAAAUCAGCGAGAGUAUUUGCAAUAUUUUUCCAGGAAAGGAGAUAAAGAAUCCAAUCAAUACUUUAUACCACUGCUUGUCUGUCUUACAGCACUGCUGGACUACGUUUCUUCACUUACCAGUACCAACAAGCAGGUCCACAAGUCUUUCAAAACAAUUAUGUUUAUGUGGCUGCCUCCCAGCAUCUCUACUAAACAAAGGAGCAGGUUCCCACAUCUAGGAAGCCAUCAGUAUCAGCUGAAAGGCAGUUCUAUAUUUUCAUAUUGGUAAAAUCUAAAGCCCAAGCCAAAAGGAGCCAAUUAUUCCCUUCAGCUUGUGUUACCUGGUAACAACCACUCCUAUACAAACUAACCUAACUUUGGUAUACAAGCUAUUGUUCAAUUAAUUCUAAAGAAAGUGAACACUCCUUCUUGGUAUCAAAUGUAGCUGGAAAAGUAAUAAACCAUACAAUAUCCUACUAUUUUACUACCCAUGUGUAAGGCAUACCUAAACUCCUUUUUUAAUACUUGCUUUACAUAAUUUUAAAUGCAAAAGACUUGUGCAAAACAAGGCAAACGUUUAGAAAUUCUGGUAUUUUAGAACCCUCACAGCCACCCUCUGCACCUCCAGCAAAUGCUUCUAAUGCUGCAGGAUUCUGGAAUAUUAGCAGUGAUAAUAAAAUUCAAAAGGUUGUUCAUUACUAGCUUGCAAUGCCAAGCUAAAAAUCCCCUCCACUCAACAUGCAAAAGUUACACGAAAAAGUUUUAAAUGCAAUUUUAAUUAAGAACAUUGCUAUUAUUUUUCACUCUCCUACACCUACGCAGAGUUAUUGUCAGACCUUCUCACAGAAUCUCUAAUGCCAUUCUGUCUGUGUUCUAAUAUCAAGAAUUAUUCCCUACAGCUAACACUCUCGUAUCUCCCCCUCAGAUCUUGCAAUGAUGUUCCUUAAUCUGGCUGCAUGUGUUUAUUGUGUAGAUAGGGAGUUGUAAGUAUCUUAAAGAGAAACGGAGAGUUUUAACAGCAUCUUGUAAAAAUGCAUGUAGAAGGACAGCAGUCAGGUGGACGAACUCCCCAACACUUUUAAGAACUUUUAAGACCGAGGACUGUGUCUAUAGCAAUACUAUGCAAAAUGCAUGCUGACACCCUGAUCCGUUCACAUUUGUUGUACCUUGUCAGGGGAGGAACAGUCACUUAAUGCAUGUUUGCACAGUGUUCAGCACAAUGGGACUUCCAGUCACUACUGUAAUUCAAAUAAUAAUGGGACAGGAUUGUAAUUCCAGUGUCCUGCUGCUUCACAGUGACAGUGCCAACAAGCAGAGGGGAGUACACAGCCGCACCAAGAUCAUUAUGACAGAUUCAUAAAACAGGGGCUCCAUUAAACACUGACCCAAAGUAGCAAGGGACAUCAAGACCCUUCAGCCAAGGAGCGAACAUACGCCUGCUUAGGUUUACUUUGAAACCCACUUUCUAAUGGGUACAUUUCUGGCAGAAUCAGGCUCUCAACUGCACUUUCAAACACAGUGGUAGGUAGCACAAGUCAGUCAGCCUUUCCUCUAAAAACCUGAUUUUGAGCUAGUCUGUACCACAUGAUAGAGCCUGGCACAAGGAUCCCCAAGACUGCUGAUUUACCCAUUUUCUUUUCUCACUGUAGCGCAGUGCUAGUUAUAUGAAGCUGCAUAGUCCAGGGAUACCUAAAAGGGAUCCCUGGUGAGUCAUGAAAAACCACCAGCCUGCAUACUUUGUCUACACAUCUUCAGAAGCCAAUUUCAAGAGCCUGGCAGAAGUGAACAAUCCAGAGGAGCUGAGGAGAACACCAGGAUAGGUAUCUGGUUAAUUUGUGAGGCUGCUGCCUUGUUACACCGAACACGUUUGGGGUGGCUCAAAUGAUCUACCUUUUCCAGUGUAUUGUCAUUUUCAAUCCAGAAGAAAAUGUAUCCAACUAUCAAAGCUUUGGGAAACACAGGCUUUGUUUCCAUUAGCAAUAUGACUAUAGGUAUGCUGUACCUGAGCUCAUACACCUUGGCUCUGCCCUGAACUGUCAUCUGUUGUUCCAGGAUCAGACCAUGGAAACCAACAGUUCUACAUGUCUUUUAAGACACCUAAAUAUUGAUGUAUCUUGCCAUAACCACUGGCAGAAUGAUGAUGGUGAUAACUGUGAGAAAAGAAGCUUGUUCCCAGAAAUAACGUACUGCUCACUGACCUCCUUUAACUUCUUCAUGGUUAAUCUUGCCAGUAAGUUUAUUGGCAACUACCUACAUAACAAUAGAUAUACAUAAUAAUAACAGAAAUAAUAGCAAACUAUAAAAAGUGAAAAAUCAAAAGAAAAGGCAACACAGGACAAAACCAAUGCAAAUUUCAAAUGACAAAACCUGUGCAAAACAGCUUAGUUCUGGAACUACUUCCAGAAUUUUCUUCCAUGUACAAUAUAUGAAGAACCCUUUUCAGACCACCAGCUUCAUGACAGAAAGUGUAUCAAUGCCUUACAGCAUAACAGUAGAAAACCUACAGCAGAAAAAUCUUGAAAGAAAUUAAGAACUUCGUUAUAAUAAAGAUUACAAUUAUUGACAACUCUUGCUUAAUAUUAGUGAAAGGAAGAAAAUGUUCUUUUAGAUAAUUUAUGUAAAACUGAUGAAGUCAGUAGAACUGUGGAAAGUACCUGGGCCUCAACACUUACAAGUAACCCCAGAAACUCAGUAAUCAUAAAAUCUUACUAAAUAAUCAAUACUUUAGGGUUAAAAUAUAGAUCAAAUAAAUUAGAAAAGGAGAGUAUGUAUAAGUAUACAGUAUAUAAGUAUAAAGUAUACAGACCAUC